rnacentral:rRNA from 1 species
CCUACGGGAGGCUGCAGUGAGGAAUAUUGGUCAAUGGGCGAGAGCCUGAACCAGCCACGUCGCGUGAAGGAUGAAGGUUCUAUGGUUUGUAAACUUCUUUUAUAUGGGAAUAAAGUGAGUAACGUGUUCCUUUUUGUAUGUACCAUACGAAUAAGCAUAGGACAACUCCGUGCCAGCAGCCGCGGUAAUAUGGUGGUUGUGAGCGUUAUCCGGAUUUAUUGGGUUUAAAGGGUGCGUAGGUGGUUAGUUAAGUCAGCGGUGAAAGUUUGUGGCUCAACGAUAGAAUUGCCGUUGAAACUGGUUGACUUGAGUAUAUGUGAGGUUGGCGGAAUGCGUGGUGUAGCGGUGAAAUGCAUAGAUAUCACGCAGAACUCCGAUUGCGAAGGCAGCUUACUAAACUAUAACUGACACUGAGGCACGAAAGCGUGGGGAUCAAACAGGAUUAGAUACCCUAGUAGUC